rnacentral:rRNA from 1 species
UACGUAGGUGGCAAGCGUUAUCCGGAAUUAUUGGGCGUAAAGCGCGCGCAGGUGGUUUCUUAAGUCUGAUGUGAAAGCCCACGGCUCAACCGUGGAGGGUCAUUGGAAACUGGGGGACUUGAGUGCAGAAGAGGAAAGUGGAAUUCCAUGUGUAGCGGUGAAAUGCGUAGAGAUAUGGAGGAACACCAGUGGCGAAGGCGACUUUCUGGUCUGUAACUGACACUGAGGCGCGAAAGCGUGGGGAGCGAACAGG